AUUGAACGCUGGCGGCAUGCCUUACACAUGCAAGUCGAACGGCAGCGGACCUUCGGGUGCCGGCGAGUGGCGAACGGGUGAGUAAAGUAUCGGAACGUACCUUUCAGUGGGGGAUAACGUAGCGAAAGUUACGCUAAUACCGCAUAUUCUGUGAGCAGGAAAGCAGGGGAUCGCAAGACCUUGCGCUGAUUGAGCGGCCGAUAUCAGAUUAGCUAGUUGGUGAGGUAAAGGCUCACCAAGGCGACGAUCUGUAGCGGGUCUGAGAGGAUGAUCCGCCACACUGGAACUGAGACACGGUCCAGACUCCUACGGGAGGCAGCAGUGGGGAAUUUUGGACAAUGGGGGCAACCCUGAUCCAGCCAUGCCGCGUGAGUGAAGAAGGCCUUCGGGUUGUAAAGCUCUUUCGGCCGGGAAGAAAUCGCUUAGGUUAAUACCCUGAGUGGAUGACGGUACCGGAAUAAGAAGCACCGGCUAACUACGUGCCAGCCGCCGCCGUAAAAC
rnacentral:rRNA from 1 species